CUAUUAACUCCACUGGCCUCGCUCCGUUCCCACGGCUCUCGGCCCCGCCCCUCUCGGCACAAAGGUUAAUCCAGACAAUUGCUGAAAAUUGGUGAUUUUGAGGUGAAAUUAGGCACGCAGCACUCUGGGAUUUGACAUAAACAUAGUUACAAGCUGUUCGCUUUCUUUUUCCAUGGCCCGUCUGUCUGGAUAAUCUUGUUACGUUUCGUUUUUCCAGAGGGACAAAUUCUGCUUGCUCGAACGAGCUGUGGCCCAGUCUGGAGGUCAAGGCUAUAGUGGAGAGGAGGGGGGCUGCUCUGUCAGAGAUAAGAGA
ensembl:lncRNA